CAGCCGCCGCGGUAACACCGAGGGUGCGAGCGUUAAUCGGAUUUACUGGGCGUAAAGCGUGCGUAGGCGGCUUCUUAAGUCGGAUGUGAAAUCCCUGAGCUUAACUUAGGAAUUGCAUUCGAUACUGGGAAGCUAGAGUAUGGGAGAGGAUGGUAGAAUUCCAGGUGUAGCGGUAAAAUGCGUAGAGAUCUGGAGGAAUACCGAUGGCGAAGGCAGCCAUCUGGCCUAAUACUGACGCUGAGGUACGAAAGCAUGGGGAGCAAACAGGAUUAGAUACCCCCGUAGUCCCUGUCUCUUAUAA
rnacentral:rRNA from 1 species